rnacentral:tRNA from 1 species
UAUAAAGUGCCUGAGGAUUAAAGGGCUAUUUUGAUGUAAUAGAGAUGUAGUAAUUACCUUUAUAA